rnacentral:rRNA from 1 species
UGGUGGAGCGAUUUGUCUGGUUAAUUCCGAUAACGAACGAGACUCUGGCCUAUUAAAUAGACGAUGUAUUUAUUAGUACAUCGCGCUUCUUAGAGGGACAAGCGGCGUCUAGCCGCAUGAAAUAGAGCAAUAACA